GUACCUCAGUUACAGACUACCUGGUGCCUGUGAAGGUCACUGCUCUCACCUGUGGACUAGUUUCGGGAGUGAUCAAUACUCUGUCCUGUACAAACACUGCUUCCUAACUUUCCUGAAUAAAGAUUAAUAUUGCAUCCGACAUUGCUGUCAAGUUCCAGGGCCCAUCCAAGACACUUUGGUGUAUGAAGCACAAGAGAAGAUCGAAGCCCAUUCAUCGAAAUUCCAUAGCAAGAACUGAUUGGGCCAGCAGAUGAAUGAAGCCACAAGGGCUGUCUUUCUCUGUGGGCAUGUGUUAGUGAUUUCCAAAAAAGCAAUAAGGGAAUUUGAAAUUGGUGACAUGCAGAGUUGACAAUCACAAAGUAGCUAUUAACAAGUUGGUGUUCUAGGUAAAGGUAAACCUUUCCUCUUGACAUUAAGUCUAGUUGAAUCCAACUCUAGGUGUCGGUGCCCAUCUCCUUUUCUAAGCCGAAGAGCCGGCAUUGUUCAUAGACACCUUCUAAGCCAUGUGACCAGCAUGACUGCAUGGAACACCAUUACUUUCCCAUCUAAGCAGUACCUAUUGAUCUACUCACAUUUGCAUGUUUUCAAACUGCUAGGUUGACAGAAGCUGGGGCUAACAACGGGAGCUCACUCCGUCCGUGGAUUCAAACAACCGACCUUCCGAUCAGCAAGUUCUGUAGCUUAGCAGUUUAACCCACUGUGCCACUGCGGCGUUCUAUCUAAAUACUACUUGAUUAAUGUAAAUUAGCCAUGUGUUUCUUUAUAAAAUUGGCAUAUUGUCCAUAUUUAUACAUUUACAUGAUGCACACAUUUCUGCUUUUAUGAAGAGCCUUCACUUCAGAUACAGGUUUGGCAUUUUGUUCAUUCUAUAUAAAAGAAACAAGUUUCCAGCCCUCAAAUAAGGGACACCAUUUACAAUAAGGGAACUUGCCAAUCUAAUGAAGGAUAAGAUUUUUGGACAUCAAAUAAAGUACAAACCUUAUAGUAAGGGACAUCUGGCAACCCUAAGAUGUAAAUAUAUGUCUGUGUUUUUGUAAAUAAAAAAUGUAUAGAUUUCCAAGGGCUUUAUUAUAAUUCAAAAAGUACAAGAGGUAAGAGACUACUUAAUCUUUUCCUCUUCUUGAAUGUUGUUUGUUAUAAUCGAAGCACCUGGAGGCUACCAAGAUGGGAAAGAUUGCUUUGCAAAUUUUAAUUUCUGCUGCACACUCUGUAAAUGUUUUCUUUGCAAAGUGUGAAUUGAUCCCCAGUAUGAAGAGAUCCUCAUGUUGAAUAUGGAAUCUAAAUAUGCUUGUCUGAAAUGACAAUAAAUUAUCUUCUAAACCUGUUUGUACUUU